rnacentral:rRNA from 1 species
AGUGAACGCUGGCGGUAGGCCUAACACAUGCAAGUCGAACGGCAGCACAGUAAGAGCUUGCUCUUACGGGUGGCGAGUGGCGGACGGGUGAGGAAUACAUCGGAAUCUACUUUUUCGUGGGGGAUAACGUAGGGAAACUUACGCUAAUACCGCAUACGACCUACGGGUGAAAGCAGGGGAUCUUCGGACCUUGCGCGAUUGAAUGAGCCGAUGCCGGAUUAGCUAGUUGGCGGGGUAACGGCCCACCAAGGCGACGAUCCGUAGCUGGUCUGAGAGGAUGAUCAGCCACACUGGAACUGCGACACGGUCCAGACUCCUACGGGAGGCAGCAGUGGGGAAUAUUGGGCAAUAGGCGCAAGCCUGAUCCAGCCAUACCGCGUGGGUGAAGAAGGCCUUCGGGUUGUAAAGCCCUUUUGUUGGGAAAGAAAAGCAGCAGGUUAAUACCCCGCUGUUCUGACGGUACCCAAAGAAUAAGCACCGGCUAACUUCGUG